GUGCCAGCAGCCGCGGUAAUUCCAGCUCCAAUAGCGUAUAUUAAAGUUGUUGUGGUUAAAAAGCUCGUAGUUGAACCUUGGGCCUGGCUGGCCGGUCCGCCUCACCGCGUGCACUGGUCCGGCCGGGCCUUUCCCUCUGUGGAACCCCAUACCCUUCACUGGGCGUGGCGGGGAAACAGGACAUUUACUUUGAAAAAAUUAGAGUGCUCCAGGCAGGCCUAUGCUCGAAUACAUUAGCAUGGAAUAAUAAAAUAGGACGCGCGGUUCUAUUUUGUUGGUUUAUAGGACCGCCGUAAUGAUUAAUAGGGACAGUCGGGGGCAUCAGUAUUCAACUGUCAGAGGUGAAAUUCUUGGAUCAGUUGAAGACUAACUACUGCGAAAGCAUUUGCCAAGGAUGUUUUCAUUAAUCAGGAACGAAAGUUAGGGGAUCGAAGACGACCAGAUACCGUCGUAGUCUUAACCAUAAACUAUGCCGACUAGGGAUCGGACGGUGUUAUUCAUGACCCGUUCGGCACCUUACGAGAAAUCAAAGUGCUUGGGCUCCAGGGGGAGUAUGGUCGCAAGGCUGAAACUUAAAGAAAUUGACGGAAGGCACCACCAGGGGUGGAGCCUGCGGCUUAAUUUGACUCAACACGGGAAACUCACCAGGUCCAGACACAAUAAGGAUUGACAGAUUGAGAGCUCUUUUCUUGAUUUUGUGGGUGUGGUUGCAUGGCCGUUCUUAGUUGGUGGGGUGACUUGUCUGCUUAAAUUGCGAUAACGAAACGAGACCUUAAAUC
rnacentral:rRNA from 1 species